rnacentral:rRNA from 1 species
UAACUGAAGAGUUUGAUCAUGGCUCAGAUUGAACGCUGGCGGCAGGCUUAACACAUGCAAGUCGAGCGGGGGAAGGUAGCUUGCUACUGGACCUAGCGGCGGACGGGUGAGUAAUGCUUAGGAAUCUGCCUAUUAGUGGGGGACAACAUCUCGAAAGGGAUGCUAAUACCGCAUACGUCCUACGGGAGAAAGCAGGGGAUCUUCGGACCUUGCGCUAAUAGAUGAGCCUAAGUCGGAUUAGCUAGUUGGUGGGGUAAAGGCCUACCAAGGCGACGAUCUGUAGCGGGUCUGAGAGGAUGAUCCGCCACACUGGGACUGAGACACGGCCCAGACUCCUACGGGAGGCAGCAGUGGGGAAUAUUGGACAAUGGGGGGAACCCUGAUCCAGCCAUGCCGCGUGUGUGAAGAAGGCCUUAUGGUUGUAAAGCACUUUAAGCGAGGAGGAGGCUACUUUAGUUAAUACCUAGAGAUAGUGGACGUUACUCGCAGAAUAAGCACCGGCUAACUCUGUGCCAGCAGCCGCGGUAAUACAGAGGGUGCGAGCGUUAAUCGGAUUUACUGGGCGUAAAGCGUGCGUAGGCGGCUUAUUAAGUCGGAUGUGAAAUCCCCGAGCUUAACUUGGGAAUUGCAUUCGAUACUGGUGAGCUAGAGUAUGGGAGAGGAUGGUAGAAUUCCAGGUGUAGCGGUGAAAUGCGUAGAGAUCUGGAGGAAUACCGAUGGCGAAGGCAGCCAUCUGGCCUAAUACUGACGCUGAGGUACGAAAGCAUGGGGAGCAAACAGGAUUAGAUACCCUGGUAGUCCAUGCCGUAAACGAUGUCUACUAGCCGUUGGGGCCUUUGAGGCUUUAGUGGCGCAGCUAACGCGAUAAGUAGACCGCCUGGGGAGUACGGUCGCAAGACUAAAACUCAAAUGAAUUGACGGGGGCCCGCACAAGCGGUGGAGCAUGUGGUUUAAUUCGAUGCAACGCGAAGAACCUUACCUGGCCUUGACAUACUAGAAACUUUCCAGAGAUGGAUUGGUGCCUUCGGGAAUCUAGAUACAGGUGCUGCAUGGCUGUCGUCAGCUCGUGUCGUGAGAUGUUGGGUUAAGUCCCGCAACGAGCGCAACCCUUUUCCUUACUUGCCAGCAUUUCGGAUGGGAACUUUAAGGAUACUGCCAGUGACAAACUGGAGGAAGGCGGGGACGACGUCAAGUCAUCAUGGCCCUUACGGCCAGGGCUACACACGUGCUACAAUGGUCGGUACAAAGGGUUGCUACACAGCGAUGUGAUGCUAAUCUCAAAAAGCCGAUCGUAGUCCGG